rnacentral:rRNA from 1 species
GAUGCCUACGGGGGGCAGCAGUAGGGAAUCUUCCACAAUGGGGGAAACCCUGACGCAGCAACGCCGCGUGCGGGACGAAGGCCCUCGGGUUGUAAACCGCUUUCAGCAGGGAAGACUUUACGACGGUACCUGCAGAAGAAGCUCCGGCUAACUACGUGCCAGCAGCCGCGGUAAUACGUAGGGGGCGAGCGUUAUCCGGAUUCAUGGGGCGUAAAGCGCGCGUAGGCGGCCGCCUAAGCGGGACCUCUAACCCCGGGGCUCAACCCCGGGCCGGGUCCCGGACGGGGCGGCGCG